rnacentral:rRNA from 1 species
UAGAAGCAGUACCGGAAGGAGCUGUGGACUGCAUGGAAGAGAGAAUGCCGGAAUGAGUAGCGAGAUAGAGGUGGGAAUCCUCUAGGCCGAAUAUCCAAGGUUUCCAGGGUAAAGCUGAUCUGCCCUGGGUGAGUCGGGACCUAAGGUGAGGGCGAGAGCCGUAGCCGAUGGACAACAGGUUGAUAUUCCUGUACUGCAGUAUGACAGAACUGUGGGGACACGUAAGGAGAGCGGGAGCCGGGAAUGGAAAGCCCGGUACAAGCGAGGUACCAGUCACAUAGGAAAAUCCGUGUGGCAAUGGGAAGACGUGAUGUGGAGCGAAGAUUAGUAGCGAAGCCCGUGAGCCAUGCGUCAAGAAAAGCCGCUAUCGUUCAUAUUGUACCCGUACCGUAAACCGACACAGGUGGAUGAGGAGAGAAUCCUAAGGCCGGCGGAAGAAGUAUUGCCAAGGAACUCGGCAAAAUGGCCCCGUAACUUAGGGAGAAGGGGUGCCUGCGAGAGCAGGCCGCAGAGAAUAGGCUCAAGCAACUGUUUAGCAAAAACACAGGUCUAUGCGAAACCGAAAGGUGAGGUAUAUGGGCUGACGCCUGCCCGGUGCUGGAAGGUUAAGAGGAGAGGUUAGCGGUAACGCGAAGCUUUGAAUUUAAGCCCCAGUAAACGGCGGCCGUAACGAUAACGGUCCUAAGGUAGCGAAAUUCCUUGUCGGGUAAGUUCCGACCCGCACGAAAGGCGUAAUGAUUUGAGCGCUGUCUCGGCAAUACAUCCGGUGAAAUUGAAGUGCCAGUGAAGAUGCUGGCUACCCGCGCCAGGACGGAAAGACCCCAUGGAGCUUUACUCCAGUUUGGCACUGGGGUCCGGUGUUGCAUGUACAGGAUAGGUGGGAGGCUGAGAAACGGUAACGUCAGUUGCCGCGGAGCCGCUGUUGGGAUACCACCCCUGUGAUAUUGGGCUUCUAACCAGCCGCCGUAAUCCGGCGGUGGGACAAUGCCAGGCGGGGAGUUUGACUGGGGCGGUCGCCUCCGAAAGGGUAUCGGAGGCGCCCAAAGGUUCCCUCAGAAUGGACGGAAACCAUUCGAAGAGUGCAAAGGCAGAAGGGAGCUUGACUGCGACACCGACGGGUGGAGCAGGUACGAAAGUAGGGCUUAGUGAUCCGGUGGUAUUAAGUGGGAAUGCCAUCGCUCAACGGAUAAAAGCUACCCUGGGAUAACAUGCUUAUCACUCCCAAGAGUUCACAUCGACGGAGUGGUUUGGCACCUCGAUGUCGGCUCAUCGCAUCCUGGGGCUGUAGUAGGUCCCAAGGGUUGGGCUGUUCGCCCAUUAAAGCGGUACGCGAGCUGGGUUCAGAACGUCGUGAGACAGUUCGGUCCCUAUCCGGCGUGGGCGUAGGAUAUCUGAGAGGAGCUGUCCUUAGUACGAGAGGACCGGGAUGGACGGACCGCUGGUGGACCGGUUGGCUUGCCAAAGCCAUGGCCGGGUAGCCAAGUCCGGAAGGGAUAAACGCUGAAGGCAUCUAAGCGUGAAGCCCCCCUCAAGAUGAGAUAUCCCAUUCUUAUGAAGUAAACCCCCUUGAAGACGACGAGGUAGAUAGGGCAGAGGUGGAAGUGUGGUAACACAUGGAGCUGACUGUUACUAAUCGGGUGAGGGCUUGACCAG